CCUACGGGAGGCUGCAGUGGGGAAUAUUGGACAAUGGGCGAAAGCCUGAUCCAGCCAUGCCGCGUGUGUGAAGAAGGCCUUCGGGUUGUAAAGCACUUUCAGUGGGGAAGAAAGCCUUGGGGCUAAUACCCUCGAGGAAGGACAUCACCCACAGAAGAAGCACCGGCUAACUCCGUGCCAGCAGCCGCGGUAAUACGGAGGGUGCGAGCGUUAAUCGGAAUUACUGGGCGUAAAGCGCGCGUAGGCGGUCUGAUAAGCCGGUUGUGAAAGCCCCGGGCUCAACCUGGGAACGGCAUCCGGAACUGUCAGGCUAGAGUGCAGUAGAGGAAGGUAGAAUUCCCGGUGUAGCGGUGAAAUGCGUAGAGAUCGGGAGGAAUACCAGUGGCGAAGGCGGCCUUCUGGACUGACACUGACGCUGAGGUGCGAAAGCGUGGGUAGCAAACAGGAUUAGAUACCCUAGUAGUC
rnacentral:rRNA from 1 species